AGAGAGAGAGAGAGAGCUGGGAGCUCUGACCCGGAAGCCACCGCGACCCGAGAAGGAAACCCGACCAGAGGGACGCCGUCUGGCCACCCCACGACGGAGCGUGGCUACCAACAGCUUCGUCUCGUCUUCGCCGUCACGCCUGUGGCCUUUGAUCGCCCAUGCACCGGACGAGGAGGGAGACUCGACUGUGAGAAGCAGCGACUGCGCCGGCGAGUUUCUGCAAUUUUCGGCCACCGCUUGGGCCGCAUUCGAUUUUGGGUGAUUUCGGCUCCGCCGUGUUCUUCGACUCCGGCGACGUUUCCGGCACUUCUGCGCUUGGCUUCUGGCUUGAAUGCUUCUGUAGGCGAGGGCUGACCUUGGUUUGGGAGUAAAGUCUGGAAAUUUUUGGGUGGUGAUCGAACUGGGAAGUUUGGGCUUGCUGUGUUCGUGGUCGGACGCAGACCUGCAAAAUUUGGAGUUCUGAUCUUGAUCAAGUUUGAUUACAUGGACUCCAGUUACCCAAGGAACGGAAGGUUUGUGAAUUCCGGAUAACGUGGAUUGGUAAAGCUUCGGAAUCCAGUGUGGUUGCAGGUACUGUGCACUGGGAACGGGAUUGGAGCGGACGAAGCUGGGUGUGCAGAUUUCAAUAGAAGUCAGGUUCUGGGUUCCAAUCUUAUUCCUGUUCCUUAAAAUUGUAUUUUUGGAACUGGUCCUUUAUUCCUCGGUUGUUUGCAACGUUAAGUCCUGGACGAACAUUUGAAUUUAAAGUUUUAGAAAGGUUUUCACCUCAAAAGAAUUUAAAAGCUUC